AUUUGUAAAACCUAAUAAUUUUGAAAAACUUGGUCAAGGUUGAUUAUCUAAAAUGUCUAUAGAAAAUAGGUUAUACGCAAUGGAAUGUGUACUUUU
ensembl:snoRNA F19H8.7 ncRNA